rfam:Ornithorhynchus anatinus chromosome 4, whole genome shotgun sequence.
UCCCUCUCAGCGUCGCACCUGGAGAGUUUCCAGUAUGCUACCAGACUCGGUUAUGGGAGGGAGAGUCAAGCAGAGGCCUGUCCAUUCCAUUCCUAGCUCGGCCAGUGGCUAGCGAGUGGCAGGCCAUCUGCUACAAGU